GUGUCAGCAGCCGCGGUAAUACGGAGGGGGUUAGCGUUGUUCGGAAUUACUGGGCGUAAAGCGCGCGUAGGCGGAUUGGAAAGUUGGGGGUGAAAUCCCGGGGCUCAACCCCGGAACUGCCUCCAAAACUUCCAGUCUGGAGUUCGAGAGAGGUGAGUGGAAUUCCGAGUGUAGAGGUGAAAUUCGUAGAUAUUCGGAGGAACACCAGUGGCGAAGGCGGCUCACUGGCUCGAUACUGACGCUGAGGUGCGAAAGUGUGGGGAGCAAACAGGAUUAGAUACCCUGGUAGUCCACACCGUAAACGAUGAAUGCCAGUCGUCGGCAAGCAUGCUUGUCGGUGACACACCUAACGGAUUAAGCAUUCCGCCUGGGGAGUACGGCCGCAAGGUUAAAACUCAAAGGAAUUGACGGGG
rnacentral:rRNA from 1 species